rnacentral:rRNA from 1 species
ACGGGUGAGUAAUGUAUGGGGAUCUGCCCGAUAGAGGGGGAUAACUACUGGAAACGGUAGCUAAUACCGCAUAACGUCGCAAGACCAAAGAGGGGGACCUUCGGGCCUCUUGCCAUCAGAUGUGCCCAGAUGGGAUUAGCUAGUAGGUGGGGUAACGGCUCACCUAGGCGACGAUCCCUAGCUGGUCUGAGAGGAUGAUCAGCCACACUGGGACUGAGACACGGCCCAGACUCCUACGGGAGGCAGCAUG